GAUGAACGCUGGCGGCGUGCUUAACACAUGCAAGUCGAACGAAGCACUUCAUCUGAUUUCCUUCGGGACUGAUUAUUUUGUGACUGAGAGGCGGACGGGAGCGUAACGCGUGGGUAACCUGACUUGUACAGGGGGAUAACAGUAGGAAACGGCUGCUCAUACCGCAUAAGGGCACGGCAUCGCAUGAUGCAGUGUGAAAAACUCCGGCGGUAUAAGAUGGACCCGCGUUGGUUUGGCUAGUCGGUGGGGUAACAGCCCACCAAGGCGACGAACCAGAGCCGACCGGGUAGGGUGCCAGGCCGGGUUGGGAAUGAGGCACAGCCCAAUCUCCGACGGGGGGCAGCAGUGGGGUGUAUUGCACAAGGGGCGAAAGCCUGAUGCAGCGGCGCGGCGUGAGCGAAGAAGUGUUUCGGUAUGUAAAUCUCUAUCAGCAGAGAAGAUAGUGACGGUACCUGACUAAGAAGCACCGGCUAAAUACGUG
rnacentral:rRNA from 1 species